rnacentral:rRNA from 1 species
GGAGGAAAAGAAACUAACAAGGAUUCCCCUAGUAACUGCGAGUGAAGCGGGAAGAGCUCAAAUUUAAAAUCUGGCGGUCUCUGACUGUCCGAGUUGUAAACUAGAGAAGUGUUAUCCGCGCUGGACCAUGUAUAAGUCUCCUGGAACGGAGCGUCACAGAGGGUGAGAAUCCCGUCUUUGACAUGGGCUGCCAGGGCAUUGUGAUGCGCUCUCAAAGAGUCGAGUUGUUUGGGAAUGCAGCUCAAAAUGGGUGGUAAAUUCCAUCUAAAGCUAAAUAUUGGCGAGAGACCGAUAGCGAACAAGUACCGUGAGGGAAAGAUGAAAAGAACUUUGGAAAGAGAGUUAAACAGUACGUGAAAUUGUUGAAAGGGAAACGCUUGAAGUCAGUCGCAUUGGCUGGGGAUCAACCUUGCAUUGUGAGGUGUACUCUCUAGUCAGUGGGUCAGCAUCAAUUUUGACCGCUGGAAAAGGGUUGGAGGAAUGUGGCAUCUCUGGAUGUGUUAUAGCCUCUGGUCAUAUACAGUGGUUGGGAUUGAGGAACUCAGCACGCCGCAAGGCCGGGUAUCUACCACGUUCGUGCUUAGGAUGCUGGCAUAAUGGCUUUAAUCGACCCGUCU